GCUUUCCCGCCGGCGGCGGCGGCGGCCGCGGCCGCGGGCCGGGGAGACGGCCUUGCAGAGCGCGGGAUCCCAGGGCUGCGAGGGUGACCCAGAGCAAGCCCUGGCGCACGCGCGCUCCGCUCGACGCGGUGCUCCCGGGGUGCGUCUCUGCGAAACGCUCGGCCCUAACCGGCCCUGCACCCGGCGGGGGCGGCGGGCACUGAGCCGCUGGCUCUCGGCUGCCGCGAACAAAGGGCGCAGGAUUUAACCUCGGCUCUCUGGGCGUGCCUUUGCAGGCCCUCGUGCGCUCUGCUGGGGAAAAGAAAAAAAGCUUCUGCCAAUGCCAGUGCAGCUGUGUGUCCGCUGUAGUUGUGCAGGUUAAUUCUGCGCGAGCGAAAACACCGAGAAAGACGUUCAGGCACUGGAUAUCCACGCAGGCCUUAAGGAACCCCUGUGCAGCCUUGUGCCACGAGAGGAGUGGAUUCACUAACUUUCACGCUGAUUCCUCAAACCAAGUUGUUUCAUUUUUGGCCAAAACUCUUUAUGUUGAUCACUUUCCUUGAGUACCUACUGUCUGCCUAGUGUUGGAGACAUGGAAAUAAACGAUAAUUGUUUUGCCUGAAAACAGCACAGUUUAGUGGAGAGGACAGACAACUGAGCAGAUACUUACCAAAGCAUGCUUAGUGUUAGGGCACAGGCCCUGGGAAACGAGAAAGAUGCGCCUCCGACAGGAAGUCCAGGCUACAUCUGGAGGGAGGAGAGGCCUGCAGAGCCUGAUGAGGACUGCCACCAUCACCUCCCCCGAAGGAGGACCAGCUGGAGCUGAGGAGCAAGGUAAUGCUCAAGAAGUGAGCAGUCCAGAGCUGGUGAGGUGAUUCUGCCAUCCCCAACAUGUGAACUCCAGGGUGACUUUGCCAUUUGUCAUGAUUUUCUAGCCACAGGAUGGAGAAAGAGGAAGUAGAAGGCCUGCAGUUUCCAUUUUAGGAUGUUACAUACUUCAUGUUCACUCAUAUCCCAUUGGUCAGAGCUUGGUCACAGGGCCAUGCAAGGUGCAGGGGAGGCUGGGAAAGGUAUUUUUGGACCGGAUGACCAUGUAUCUUGCUGAAUCUCAGAAAACUUCUAUUAUUAAAGGUACUAAAGUCUGAA